UCCGGUUGAUCCUGCCGGACCCCACUGCUAUCGGGGUGGGACUAAGACAUGCUAGUCGUGCGCCUCCAAGCCACGGUGGAGGCGCGGCGCACAGCUCAGUAACACGUGGCUAACCUACCCUUGGGACAGGGACAACCCCGGGAAACUGGGGCUAAUCCCCGAUAGGUGAGGACUCCUGGAAUGGGUCCUCGCUGAAAGGGCGUCUAGACCAUGCUUCUAGACGCUGCCCAAGGAUGGGGCCGCGGCCGAUCAGGUUGUUGGUGAGGUAACGGCUCACCAAGCCUAAGACCGGUACGGGCCGUGAGAGCGGGAGCCCGGAGAUGGACACUGAGACAAGGGUCCAGGCCCUACGGGGCGCAGCAGUCGCGAAACCUCCGCAAUACGCGAAAGCGUGACGGGGCCACCCCGAGUGCCGUCCGCUGAGGACGGCUUUUCCCCAGUGUAGACAGCUGGGGGAAUAAGGGGAGGGCAAGUCGGGUGUCAGCCGCCGCGGUAAUACCCGCUCCCCGAGUGGUGGGGACGCUUAUUGGGCCUAAAGCAUCCGUAGCCGGCUGGACAAGUCCCCUGUUAAAUCCAGCGAUUUAAUCGCUGGACUGCGGGGGAUACUGUCCAGCUAGGGGGCGGGAGAGGCCGGCGGUAUUCCCGGGGUAGGGGUGAAAUCUUAUAAUCCCGGGAGGACCACCAGUGGCGAAGGCUGCCGGCUGGAACGCGCCCGACGGUGAGGGAUGAAAGCUGGGGGAGCGAACCGGAUUAGAUACCCGGGUAGUCCCAGCUGUAAACGAUGCGGGCUGGGUGUUGGCACGGCUACAAGCCGUGUCAGUGCCGCAGGGAAGCCGUUAAGCCCGCCGCCUGGGGAGUACGGCCGCAAGGCUGAAACUUAAAGGAAUUGGCGGGGGAGCACCACAAGGGGUGAAGCUUGCGGUUUAAUUGGAGUCAACGCCGGG
rnacentral:rRNA from 1 species